rnacentral:ncRNA from 3 species
AAAGUGCAUGCGCUUUGGGACA